GCCCAAUUUAAGUACCUGCAUAUAAUCUAAAGGAACGUGAAUAUCCAAUCUAAAAUCAAGAGAUUUUGCUUUGGUGACAUGAAAAAAGGUAAGAUGCUGUGCUGACCCCUGAACAAACUAGAGAUUGGUAUAUUUAACUCUUAGAACUUCUAUCCUAGUAGGAAUUUGAAAUAAAAUAUUGAGAAAUUAAAAUAUGUACAUUACUAAUGGUAUAGUCUGUGUGAUUCAGGGGCAAAUCAAGCCAAAAGGCAAAACAGUUUCUCUUCUUGCCUUAGUCCCUCUCUUCCUACAAAAUACACCUCAUAAAAAAGAGCAGUGACACAAAAACUUGCUGUGGAAUCACAGGUGUGGCACAGACACUCUUGGUUCUGCCUUCCAUGGGUUAGAACAAAUGUCAUUGUUUGCAUUGUGACAUCAGCUGUGAUCAGUUCCUCUGACAGCAUCAUUUCAUACCACAAAAUCAAGUGAUUAUGUUGGAUAAAUCUCUGUACAACCCCGGCAGCAAAAGGCAUAAGAAUUGAGAUUGGGGGGAAGGGAGUCUUAAUUUGAUUAAGCAAAGCAGCUGUUUUGUUAUAAUAUCGCUACACAUUCCUUUUUUCUGUCUUCCCUCACUCAUUCUUCUUUGAGGAUCACCUCAGAAAGGCUUUAUGUACUGAAAAUUCAAUCUUUAUUAUUUUUAACCUGUCUCAUACUGCAUUCAUACAUCAGACAGAGUGGGGAGAACAGUCAUGGCCAGCACCCAGACAGGGCAGAGACACCUCAGGCUCCAGUAAAGGUGUGGAACACAAGCUGUGUGUGUGUGCACCCCUGUCCCAGCAGGACAAGCUCAGGGGAGCUGACAGCAGCAUUUACUCUUCCAAGGCAGCCCCAGGAGCUUCAGGGAUGGCCAUGGCAGAAGACUGGAGUGGGACAGGAGCAGCAGGGGAACCUGAGCUCCUCAGCACACUGCAGAGUGAUGGAAAUGCUCCUUGUACACAGGAUCCCAGCUUUGUCCUGCAGAAUUCAGCUGGCAGAAAUACUGCAGCUCAUUUUUAAAAAGAGAGAGGGAGAGAAUAAAUAAAAAAGGAGGCAUGAUAAACUCAGGACCUGUGCAGAUAAAAAGCUUCCAGCCAUUCAGGUGCUGAUAAAACUGAAAGACCAAUGGACAGUUGUGUAUCUGUCCCCACUUCCCAC
rnacentral:lncRNA from 1 species